GAUGAACGCUGGCGGCGUGCCUAAUACAUGCAAGUCGAGCGAACAGACGAGGAGCUUGCUCCUCUGACGUUAGCGGCGGACGGGUGAGUAACACGUGGAUAACCUACCUAUAAGACUGGGAUCACCUCGGGAAACCGGCGCUAAUACCGGAUAAUAUAUUGCACCGCAUGGUUCAAUAGUGAAAGACGGUUUUGCUGUCUCUUAUAGAUGGAUCCGCGCCGCAUUAGCUAGUUGGUAAGGUAACGGCUUACCAAGGCUACGAUGCGUAGCCGACCUGAGAGAGUGAUCGGCGACACUGGAACGGAGACACGGACCAGACUCCUACGGGAGGGAGCAGUAGGGAAUCUGCCGCAAUAGGGGAAAGCGUGACACAGCGACGCCGCGUGAGUGAUGAAGGUAUUCGGAUCGUAAAACUCUGUUAUGGGGGAUGAACAAAUGUGUAAGUAACUAUGCACGUCUUGACGGUACCUAAUCAGAAAGCAACGGCUAACUACGUG
rnacentral:rRNA from 1 species